AACGCGAAGAACCUUACCUAAGCUUGACAUCCUUUUGACCUCUCCCUAAUCGGAGAUUUCCCUUCGGGGACAAAAGUGACAGGUGGUGCAUGGUUGUCGUCAGCUCGUGUCGUGAGAUGUUGGGUUAAGUCCCGCAACGAGCGCAACCCUUGCCUUUAGUUGCCAGCAUUAAGUUGGGCACUCUAGAGGGACUGCCAGGGAUAACCUGGAGGAAGGUGGGGAUGACGUCAAAUCAUCAUGCCCCUUAUGCUUAGGGCUACACACGUGCUACAAUGGGUGGUACAGAGGGCAGCCAAGUCGUGAGGCGGAGCUAAUCCCUUAAAGCCAUUCUCAGUUCGGAUUGUAGGCUGAAACUCGCCUACAUGAAGCUGGAGUUACUAGUAAUCGCAGAUCAGAAUGCUGCGGUGAAUGCGUUCCCGGGUCUUGUACACACCG
rnacentral:rRNA from 1 species